UGUUCUACUUUUCCCUUUAACAACAAAGGGGGAUUAGUUACUGUUUAAUCAGCUGCUUUACUACCAAGACUUGUUGAUGAGGCCCAUGAAAUUAAGUUGUGCAGAUUUUACAGCUCAGCAGAGUUCACAGUGCCACUGUCAAAUUUCUGUCUGCCAAGGCAAGCACCGUGAGUGAGCCAUAGAGGUCAGGAAAAAGGGACAUCAGGAGACACCAGGAGGUGAUACCAGCUGGGAUCAGUAACAUCUGGUGGUCACCUGCAUCACGAUACUCAGGUGGAACGGUGGCUUCUCUGCACUACAGAGACGACAGUCACAACAAAACUAAGGAAAAUGUCUGGUGCAGAAGACAGUGGAGAUGGGCUCAGGCUUUUUUCAGAGGACAGCACUGUUGACAGAUGCAACACACAGCUUUAAGGCAGGUAAAAGACUGUUAGGCACGGAACAAAUUUCUGUGUCAUUGCCUGAAGGCGUUUCCAGAGCUGUCCCUCCCUAAGGAGGUGCCUGAUGCAGGACAGUGUGCCCCAGUGGCCCUGGCUGCUCCUGGAUGAGGUGGUGGGACAGGAGCACAUGCCAGGCCCAGCCCUGCCACCCCAGGGAGCCCCCAUGGUUCCCUACUGCACUGCCAUACCCUGAAGAACCAUGAGGGAUGGGGACAAGGCAGGGGGACAUAGCCACUGCACCUGAGUGCAGUUAGCCUGGAGGAAAGCUUUCCAAGGAGAUGGGGAAGACUCACAAGGGAAGGUCUCUAAAGCAACUUAUACCUAUACCCAUCACCUACUCUUGCCUCAGUGCUGGGAUAGGACAAGACAUGGCAGCUCAACAUCCCUGUGUUUUUACAGCAACAGGCUCAUGUACAGCAAGGGGAGAUAUCCUCUGGAAGUGUAUGCUCCUGCCAAGCCUGCUUCAAGGUGCCUCGUUGAACUUCACCCAACUCAAGACCUGAGAACCUGGAUGAGCACUGAAACUUCAGACCUCUGCCAAGGCCACUGGGGUGGCCCCGCCUUUGUGUGGCAAAGCAAAUGUGAUUUCACUGCAGGUACCCUUGAGGCCCAGCCAUACCAUCAGUCCUGUUUUUAAGAGACUGACAACACAGUUAGGCAGAAGUAAUUCCAUUUUGUAGUAACUCUCUGUGAAUAAUCAAUAUUUAGUGCCUGCAACUCUAAUACUGAAUUAUUUAUUUGAGAAUUUAAGUAUUUGAAAAAUAUCAAAGCCAGUUGUAUGCUGGGCAGCAUCAAAAUCAGCAUGGCCAGUGGGUGAAGUGAGCUGAUUCUGUCUCUAUACUCCAUCUUUGUGAGACCUCACCUGGAGUACUGAUUCCAGAUCUGGGGUCCCCAGUACAGGAAGGACCUGUUGGAGCAAGUCCAGAAGAGGCCAACAAAAUGAUCAGAGGGAUGGAGCACCUCUUCUGCAUGGAAAGGCUGAUCCAGUUGGAA